AUUGAGAGAGGGAGAGAGAGGGAGAGAGACAGAGAGAGAGAGAGAGAGACCUGCACAGGUGAUUGGACCUCGCGGUGUCGCGCGCCACAGACGCUCCCGGUGAGUUUUCAACGGUCACGCGCGUUCUUCUUGGUAUUUUUUUGUUUACGUGCACGCGAGAUUAGGCGACCGGCCGGUGAGAGAGACACCGAGAUAACGACCACAUCCUCGGCUGGUAAGACCUCUGAGCCGUCGUCCAAAGAGACAGAGAGAGAGAGAGAGAAAAGGGGGAAGAUGUCCGUGAUGAGUCCAGACGAGGAGCUAAAGGCUGUUGGAUGUUAAAUUCAAAAGUUCCCCUCCGGUCGGUUGUUUGUGCGCUGCGGGGAUUAAACCACCGACAGAGGGACAGGUGUCCUCUCCCCCUCUGCACCCCCCCGGUAGACUGUAGUGCGACUGGGGCUUGGAGUUAUUAAAGUUAUUUUAUUUAUUUUUUUAAGUUUUGGUACAAAGCUGGACUUUUCUGAGCCAUGUUGUGGACACGGUGGCUCGUCCUGCUGCUCUGCUGGGGGGCCACAAGCGGCGAGCAGCAGCCGGAUGAGAGGGACCGAGCUCCGGCUGAGCUCCGGGCGGACUCCCGCCGGCAGCGGUCCCCUCCGCCGGUGGAGCCGCUGGAUUUUGGGUUUGUGCCGGCGGCGGUUUAUGAUACCCACGCUUACUACGAGCCAGGGGCCGUGGGGAUCCUCUUCCACAUGGUCCAUGCUUUUCUCUACGCUGUUCAACCUAACUCCUUUCCCAAAGAUCUGAUUGUUAAAGUCAUUCAGCAAAACAUGGGGGGAAUCAAAAUAGAAGAAUGGAGAAAGCCAGAAAACGUGGUCCUGUUACUAAAGUGGAUCCACUACGAGGCCGGGUUCCUCAUAUGCGGGACCAUCGGCAUCUUGAUCGUGGUGCUCACCCCCAUCGUAGGCAUGUGUUUCUGCGCGUGUCGAUGCUGUGAGAACUGCGGAGGGGAGAUGCACCAGAGACAGAGAAAGAACGCCGACUGUCAGAGAGGUUUCUACACCGCCUCGCUCGUCGCCACCUCCAGCUUCAUUGUUGUGGGAGUACUUAUCGCCUAUGCUGCAAACCAUAAUGUCAGCACCCAAAUAAAGAGCACACGGCGGCUCAUCAACACCAAUAUGAGAGACAUGAAGACAUUCGCCAACAACACACCUGCGCAAAUUGAAUACCUGACAGCCCAGUACACCACAGCAAAGAACAAAGUCCUGUCAGAACUGGACAACAUUGGACCUUUGCUUGGUGGGAGGAUCCACAGUCAGCUGGAGAAAGAAGUGGUUCCCUCACUGGACACUGCGCUGCGUAUGGCAGGAGCCAUGCGGGAGACCAAAGAGGCCCUAGAGAACGUCAGCUCCUCCUUGGAGGUUUUACAGGAGGGGACAGGGAAACUUCAAGCCAGACUGACGGGGGAACGCGCCUCUCUGUCGAACACCCUGUCAGACCCCGCCUGCACUAAUGGAGCCGUGUCUCACACCUGUAACACCAUCCGCUCCACGCUGUCCCAGCUGGGAAUCAGCGCUGACUUCUCCAAGCUCCGAGAUGUCAGCCAUGCCUUGGACAAUGUCGACACUGUACUGAAAACAGACCUGACCAACAUUGUGCAAAAGGGUUACUCAUCCUUUAAUGACACACCAAGACUGGUUAAAGAACAAACUAAAAACAUUGUCUCAGCUCUACCUCGAGUAAAAGGCAUGCUGGAUAAGAUUGGCACAGAGAUCAACGGCUUCUCCAAGAUGUUCCCAGUGGAAGCUUCUCUGGCCAAUUUCACCAUUUUCCUCAACCAAGGACAGAAAAACAUUGAGUCUUAUUACCCACAGAUCGACCAGAUGGAUUUCUACAGAUGGAUCGGCUGCGUGGCAAUGCUCUGCAUGGUCGUCCUGGUCCUGGCCUUCAACAUCCUCGGACUGCUGUGUGGCUCCUGUGGCUACGACAAGCAGGCUACACCAACAACCCGAGGCUGCCUGUCAAACACCGGUGGCAACCUGCUAAUGGCUGGGGUUGGCUUCUCGUUUAUCUUUGCCUGGGUGCUGAUGGCCAUGGUGACCACCUUGUUCAUUGUCGGUGGCAAUGUGGAGAAGCUGGUUUGUGAGCCGCUGGCUAACCGGCAGCUGUUCAAGAUCAUAGACACACCAUUCCUCGUUCAUCCCGCCAAGAAGAACUUCCUUCCUGGGAUGCUGUUUCAGAAUCCAAACAUUGACUUGACUUUGGGAAGCAUGUAUAGGGACUGCUUUGAGAACAACGGUCUGUACCAUGCUCUGCAGCUGGAGACCAUGUUCAACAUCAACUCCUUCCUCAACAGGACCGUGUACAACAACGAUCUGGCCAAAGUUUUUGAGAGCGUGCAGGUCGAUCUGCAGGACAUCACGCUGCUGGAGCAGGCCGGCAGAGACAACCUCAUCAACUUCGCCAACUCUGGAAUCGGACAGAUCGACUAUGAAGCCUAUUUGGCUGAGGUAAAUAAGGGAGUCACUCUCGUGGAUCUCCUGUCCUUCUCCACCGACCUGGAGGCUCAGGCCGACCAACUGCCACGUGGUGCUCUGGAGAACGCACUGAAGGGACACGCCAGCAGUAUCCGACAGAUUCACAGAGAACAGGUGGUUCCCAUGGAGCAAGCAAUGAGUACCCUGAGCCAGAGCAUCAAGCAGCUGCAGAGGAUGUCCAGCGACCUGCCGGUCAAGGUCACAAAUAUCCUGAGUGCCAUUGAUGCAGCAGAGUAUCUCAUCAUUAAUAACGCCUCCCAUGUGGUGAAACAGGAAACAAAAGGCUACGUACAGAGCUUGGUCGGAUACUUCAAACAGUACACAGAAUGGGUUAAAAACUCGUUGACUGCAGAGGUGGCCCAGUGUAAACCCAUCAGUAACAUUGUGGACAGCAUGGAGAUAGUAGCAUGCAGCUUUAUAGCCGACUCAGUGAACACAUUCUGGUUCGGUCUGGGAGGCUGCUGUAUACUUCUGAUCCCCAGCAUCAUCUUCUCCGUCAAACUGGCCAAGUAUUACAGAAGGAUGGACACAGAGGACGUCUUUGAAGACUCUCCCUAUUAUGACACUCUGACCCGGUUCCCUCGGGCCUCUGCUCCCCCGAGCUACUGCGACUGGUGACCCGAAGGAGCUCGCGGAUGAGCGGACAAGAGAACUGGAAUUAACAUUUCCCUUCGUGGAUCUCUGGACUUUGAAGCUUUCCUAUUCAGAUCUUGUAACACUUCCAAGAACCAAAGGGAAGAACAACAACAACAAUCAGGAACUGUGUGGUGAGGGCGUCCCAACCCCCCCAAGUACCCCUUCAGGCCAUUUGACAGGGACCUCUGAUGCCAGCCAACUGUAAUUUAUCAAAUAUUCUCUUAGUGCACACCAGCAUCCAGUCGCAGCAGUACCACAGCAGUCCUUCUAGUGCGUCAUACUGCACAUUAUCGACUAUCAGAGCAACGUUCCUGCAUAGAUAGUUUUACCUGUAGAUUACAUUCGUUUGUACUUACAUCAUCAGUUUUAACACGGUGACACAAGUGUACAUUUUUUACGCUUUCAAAACUUUUGAAAGUUUUAUAUAUUUUUAUUAAUGUUUGUUUUAUAACAUGUAAGUAGGUUUUUUUUUUUUUUGUAGUAGCACUAGCUCUUUUCUGUCCUUUCUUUUCUUUUCUUUGUUGAUAUUUGUAAUACUGCUCGCAUCAUUUUGGCUCCACACGUUGCAUGAACCAGUAAAUGACAGAGUAGUUUAACAUUUUGGGAAAUACGCUCAUUCGCUUUCUGUGUCGAGAAUUAGAAAAGAUACGACGGGUCUACAGCCGUGUUCGCAGUGAUGCUUUGAGCUAAACGCUAACAAUCUCACAAUGAUAAUGUAUCAGCACUUAAACCUAUUAUGGUCAUAAAACAAAGUAUUUUCAAUCAGGAGAGACUUUAUUUUGAAUGAAUUAAUAUAUUUAAUUGACAUGUGCACAAUAAAGAUGAGAAAUGUGAAAUGUUUUUGUCGAUCAGACCCCAUCGGGACGUUAUCGUAUCUGAAGGGGAUCACCAAAGUCACUCAGAUUUGUCCUCUGAGGUCCAUAAAUGUCUGCACAAAGAUUCAUACCAAUCAACAUUACCAUCUUUAGAGACUUGCCACAGUUUUCCAGUUUCUAGUCUUGGUGCUAAGCUAAGCAAACAUCUGGUUAAGUAUCAUGGUUAGCAAGAGAGCGAAAAGAGAAUGAAGAGUUCAGCACAGAGUUUGUCCUGGUCCAUUGCUAACAACAAGAGGCAAAGUGUUAUCAGCUAUCCAACACACACACACACACACACACACACACGAGCCACUUACACAUACCCUAACAAGGUUUUCAGACAGCUAACAAACAAAAUAUUGUGUCUUAGGCAUUUUUUCGCCAGACCAUUAGCGAGGGCUUAGUUGCUUGUGUUGUAAGAGGUUUUUUUUUUCUUCGACAUCCUGUGGUUUGAGAAAUAAAAACUCAGAGGUUGAGGACUGAGCCUCCACAAUACAGCUGGAGUUGUGAUGAGAGUGCAAAUCUGUGAAUAAAAACUU